rnacentral:rRNA from 1 species
GACGAACGCUGGCGGCGUGCUUAACACAUGCAAGUCGAACGGAAAGGCCCUGCUUUUGUUGGGUGCUCGAGUGGCGAACGGGUGAGUAACACGUGAGUAACCUGCCCUUUACUUUGGGAUAACUUCAGGAAACUGGGGCUAAUACCUGAUAGGAGCUCCUGCUGCAUGGUGGGGGUUGGACCGUUUCGGCGGUUGGGGAUGGACUCGCGGCUUAUCAGCUUGUUGGUGGGGUAGUGGCUUACCAAGGCUUUGACGGGUAGCCGGCCUGAGAGGGUGACCGGCGACAUUGGGAAUGAGAGACGGACCAGACUCCUACGGGAGGCAGCAGGGGGGAAUAUGGCACAAUGGGCGGAAGCCUGAGGCAGCAACGCCGCGUGCGGGAUGACGGCCUGCGGGUUGUAAACCGCUUUCGCCUGUGACGAAGCGGGAGUGACGGUAAUGGGUAAAGAAGCACCGGCUAACUACGUG